rnacentral:rRNA from 1 species
UGGAGCAUGUGGUUUAAUUCGACGCAACGCGAAGAACCUUACCAGGGCUUGACAUCCCCUGACCGCGUAUGAAAGUACGUUUUCACCCUCGGGUGACAGGGAGACAGGUGGUGCAUGGUUGUCGUCAGCUCGUGUCGUGAGAUGUUGGGUUAAGUCCCGCAACGAGCGCAACCCCUACGUUUAGUUGCUAACGCGUGAAGGCGAGCACUCUAGACGAACUGCCGUUGACAAAACGGAGGAAGGUGGGAUGACGUCAAAUCAUCAUGCCCCUUAUGUUCUGGGCUACACACGUGCUACAAUGGCCGGUACAGACGGACGCAAAGCCGCGAGGUGGAGCAAAUCCUAAAAAGCCGGUCUCAGUUCGGAUUGCAGGCUGCAAUUCGCCUGCAUGAAGUCGGAAUCGCUAGUAAUCGCAGGUCAGCAUACUGCGGUCGAAUACGUUCCCGGGCCUU